rnacentral:lncRNA from 1 species
CUACCAAAGACUGUGGACUCUGGAUGAUAAUGAUAUGUCAAUCUGUGCUUUUCCUGCAGGGACUGAACAAGGGCAGUGUGUGCACAUGUGGGAGUGCCAGAAGCACCAGCGCAAUCCAGAUGUGCCCAGGCCCAUCUGUGCGUGAAAAUGCAGACACACCACACUAUUUAUCAAUUAGUGUCUGCUGCUGCCAGUGUCACCAGUUCUCUGCCUGAUGAAUGAUGCUAGGCUGGACAAGCCACACCCCAAGAUAUCCCGCUGCACUCAGAUACAAGACUGAAGAAGCAAGAACGUUAUAAAAAAGAAAGAAUGAAAAGAAAGAAGAAAAGCAACUAAGCCCAGAGAUGGAUCCCAAAACUGAAGAAUUGGUUUAAUUAAAUUGAAAGCUCUGGUGCUUGUGGUAAUUGCUAUGAAGGAAUCCAUAUCCCAUCAGAACCCUCUCCCCUGGAGUUUGCUCCCUCUACUU